UACGGAGGGGGGCUAGCGUUGUUCGGAAUUACUGGGCGUAAAGCGCGCGUAGGCGGCUUUGUAAGUUAGAGGUGAAAAGCCCGGAGCUCAACUCCGGAAUUGCCUUUAAGACUGCAUCGCUAGAAUCAUGGAGAGGUGAGUGGAAUUCCGAGUGUAGAGGUGAAAAUUCGUAGAUAUUCGGAAGAACACCAGUGGCGAAGGCGGCUCACUGGACCGGUAUUGACGCUGAGGUGCGAAAGCGUGGGGAGCAAACAGG
rnacentral:rRNA from 1 species